ACGUACACUCCUACGGGAGGCAGCAGUGGGGAAUAUUGGACAAUGGGCGCAAGCCUGAUCCAGCCAUGCCGCGUGAGCGAUGAAGGCCCUAGGGUUGUAAAGCUCUUUCACCGGAGAAGAUAAUGACGGUAUCCGGAGAAGAAGCCCCGGCUAACUUCGUGCCAGCAGCCGCGGUAAUACGAAGGGGGCUAGCGUUGUUCGGAAUUACUGGGCGUAAAGCGCACGUAGGCGGAUCGAUCAGUCAGGGGUGAAAUCCCAGGGCUCAACCCUGGAACUGCCUUUGAUACUGUCGAUCUGGAGUAUGGAAGAGGUGAGUGGAAUUCCGAGUGUAGAGGUGAAAUUCGUAGAUAUUCGGAGGAACACCAGUGGCGAAGGCGGCUCACUGGUCCAUUACUGACGCUGAGGUGCGAAAGCGUGGGGAGCAAACAGGAUUAGAAACCCUGGUAGUCCCAU
rnacentral:rRNA from 1 species